CGCUUUACAUAUAACAAACGCAGACACACAGGGCGCGAAAUUCAUCCUCUACUAGUACAGACACAGAGCGAUCUGACCAGAGUGACAGAGUGAGAUAAAAAAGAUUUGUCGUUUGAGGUGGAAGAAAAUUUAAAAUAAAAAGAAGCUAUUAUAAAAUGAAGAUGCUGUUAACACCAUUUAUUGUUACAACAUUGCUGUUAACCGCUAGAGCUGCUGACAGAUGUGGGGACAGAUGUAAAUCUACUCAAGUAUGUACAGAUGAUGGAAUAUGUGUAAAUAAAUCGGAAUUAGUAAAAUGUGGUGAUGCAUGGUUCUCGUACUACUGCCACAAGGGGAACAAGUGCUGCGCUUUUAAUGGUUGUAUGCCAGUGGGUGGUGUAUGCUGUGGCAGCAUGUUCUAUUGUCCGAGUGGCAAUACUUGUUGUAUUGUUACAAAGCGGGAACUUUCUGUGAUGGAAAGGGGAAUUGUGUUUUAGAUAAGUACGUCAGAUCAUCCAGGUACCGGUGGAAUGGUGCUUAAAUAAAACACGGCUUUCGUGGUAUUCGGCACAGAUAAAUAUUGAACCGCUGAACGAAAGCACAUCAUUUUUAAUUACAUAGAAAGGUGUACGGCAGUCAGAUAAGUCAUGAUAUUAAUGAAAAAUAUCUCCAACACAGCAUUUUCCAAUGUUUUCAUAAUAUAUGAAAUCCAGUCGGUGCGACCCAUCUAAUGGUGAAUAUUUCAAAUGUUCAAAACAAUGUUAUAGCAAUAUAAUGUAUCCAGUGAAAGACUUGUAUGCAAAAUUUAAACAACUUUAACCGUGCCUGUUUUUUUUUGUUUUUUUUUAUAAAUUUUGUAUAAUUCAUGAUAUUUCCUGAAGCUUAAGUAGAGACAAAUUUCAAAAGUGAUGGCCACUGUCCAAAACGUUUGAAAAGAAUUCAUUACACCAUUAAUUUUGAUAAAAGAAACUUCAAACUAUUGGUAAACAUUUAUAAAACACAAAAUUAAACUGUGAAUGACCACAAGUAGAGAGGAUUCUUACUCCAACAUUGAAAAAUUAAGGUCGGGUCCUGUAGGACUGUUUUAAAUUUUGCUCACUUCAUUCAAAAAUAACCUUGGGGCAGAAGUUAAACCUACCUACAUUUCUUCCACAAUACGUAAUCUAGAGAGUGAACAUUUACCGCAUGUAACUCGGUAUUUUUAAAGAUGUCUAACUCUGCCCCUUCUAUUUCAGAGGUAAAUUCACUUUGAACAGGAAGAAAUCACUCAUCAAAUGAAAAUGUUUCACUUUUUACAAAAGAUCAAUAAUAAGUCUUAAAAAAAGUAAAAACUUACUAGAAAAAAGGCUUGAACCUAUGCCCAAUGAAACAUUUAAGUCAAGUAGGUUUAUUGUAGGAAUUGAAUACUCUUCAAACGGAGGUACACUAUACACGGGUCAUACCUUAAAUGCUAACUGAAAAGGAUAUAUUUUCUUAUGAUAAAAUGUAUUGUACAGUAAUGAUAAGUCUGUCAUUUUUAGCUCCACUAUUCGGAGAAUAGGGGGGCAACUACUCGCCCCGGCCCCGGCGUCGGCGUCGACGUCGGCGUGAUCCUUCUUGGUUAAAGUUUUUCGGCAACCUUUGUUUUUCUGUCAUAUCCUUGUUACUAUUGCUUAUAUCUUACUGUAACUUCACAUAAACAUUGUCCAGUAUACAAACAAUGUAUGUGUAGGGGCUGAGCCCAUUAUACUCAAGGUCAAGGUCACCAGGCUGUUAAACUUAAGUUAUUUUUAAGGUUAAAGUUUUUCGGCAACCUUUGUUUUUCUGUCAUAUCUUUGUUACUAUUGCUUAUAUUUUACUGUUACUUCACAUAAACAUUAUCCAGUAUACAAACAAAGUAUUCGUAGGGGCUGAGCCUAUUAUAGCCAAGGUCAAGGUCAAGGUCACCAAGGUGUUAUACUUGGGUUAUUUUAAGGUUAAAGUUUUUCGGCAACCUUUGUUUUUCUGUCAUAUCUUUGUUACUAUUGCUUAUAUCUUACUGUUACUUCACAUAAACAUUAUCCAGUAUACAAACAAAGUAUUCAUAGGGGCUGAGCCCAUUAUACCCAAGGUCAAGGUCACCAAGGUGUUAUGUUAUACUUAGGUUAUUUUAAGGUUAAAGUAUUUCGACAACCUUUGUUUUUCUGUCAUAUCUUUGUUACUAUUGCUUAUAUCUUACUGUAAGUUCACAUAAACAUUGUCCAGCAUACAAGCAAAGUAUGUGCAGGGGCUGGGCCCAUUAUACCCAAGGUCAAGGUCACCAAGAAGUUAUACUUUGAAUUAUUUUCAUGUUAAUUUUUUUCGAGAGCUUCGUUUAUAGACAUAUCUUUGGUACUUUAAAAGAUAAUGACUUGAAAUUAAAAGUAUUUGUUUAUAAUCAUCUGCAUGUGUGGCUACAUAUCCAAUAACUCUAAUUUUGUUUUUGACAGAAUUAUGCCCGUUUUGUACUUAAACUUUUUUGCAAUCUUCGCUUUCUGGAUAUAACUUUAAUGCAAUAUAGGAUAAAGACUUGAAACUUUGAUAUGACGCAGCCAGGAAUCGAACCCACGACCUCCCGCAAUCCAAGCGGACGCUCUACCACUAGGUUUUUGGAAUGUACCCGUUCCUUUGAAUUUUUGGCCUUGUUUGAAGCAGUUCUACCAAAUGUUGCUACACCACUCGUCAGCAGCUAGUUCUGUUUACAACAUUUUAAGUGGCAUGUGUUAUUUUUUUCUGAAACUCGUCUCCAUCAAGGUUUGGCAUAAUCCGUUUGUUUUCAUAACAAGCAGUUAAUCCACCGCUUAUUAGAUUUCACAAGAUCUUUGACCAUGUAAGCCUAGAAUACUGUAAACAGAAACAAAAGCUUGGCUAUUUCAGUUUUUGAAUGUAAACCCCGUUUUUCGCUAAUUGACUGUUCGGGUUAUUUACAUAUUCAUAAACCACAAUCAAAUAAAUCACUUUAUAACUAAUCAAAAUAAAAGGAAUGGCAGGUUUAAAUAUCAAAGAAGGGUUUCCGUAUCCUCGGUCUUUUCAGGGCAGUUAUCUCUGAUACCGGAACACACUGAAAUUUCUACAUGUAAUUCUUCAAAUAUUACUUCCGUUGUUACUGUUAUUAAAAUUAAAAAGUACAUCAUGAGUAAAAGAGUUGAGUCUGUUGCAUUUAGAUUAUGAAUUUCUUGCAAUUUGCAUAUGUGGCUAGAUUUUAAAUGAGUUUCUACACGGAAAUUCUAUCUCAGUACAGUAUAGCAAAUUCCCGGAGCUUAUCCCACACUGGCCAUAGCUUUAUCAGAUCAAGUGGUUCCAACGUUGUUAGAAUGAUGAAUUUUACGCCGAUCAGAUGGAGAAAUAUGGCCGAUACUACAAAUUUCCGGUAUUGUAAGUAUGAUUUAAAGGAAUUUCUACCCGUUAAAUAAGCAAUCAAAUGAAAACGAUGGGUGUACCUUGAGCGCAAAUGUGUCUAUGUUUCAGCACACGUGUCUAUUUAGCUAAGAUUUGAGCCGUUUAUUCAAACACUUCUGUACAGUCCGGCGGGGGAAGGAGAUUUUUGACAGUUUUUGAAAAUAUCGCCUCAAAUAUAGUGUUUAUUGGGAGCAAGUAACUGUUAAAACACUUUUUAUGUAAAGGUCUAUCUCUUAAAACAAAGCGUGUGUAUUUUCAUAGAUUUAUUCAGGGUUGUUUCUGAACAAUCGUCCGAAAACCUAAUGCAACGCCGUUUCGAGUGGGACGCCAUGCAACGCAAUCAAGUGGAUACCGUUCUGUGUCUUACUUGCGAAGUCUUAUCCGUCUUAAAAACAGUCAUUAAAGCCUAACAAUGAAUACAUUUAGAGAGUUUUAUAUCAUUAUAAUGAUCCCGCCAUUUCUAAUAUCUUGUACUAAAUAUAUAUAAUACAUUUUAUGCUCGCUUAACAAUUAACAUAUUUUCGCGGACAUUGUCAAAAAAAUGCCAAAAGCGGGUUGACUCUUUAAAUCAGUAUAGUUACAGUGGGUUACUUUUUAGUCCCUUAAAACCAAUACAUUGCGAUUUCAUUACUGAUUUGUUGUGCAUUUAAGCUGUUCAUACAAAAUAAAUAAAGUUUGGUUCAUGAUAAAAGUAUUGAUCAGUUGUUUGUUCAUAUUUUCAUUCAUAUUCCUGGUGAAACGUUCAUUUAAUUUCUGAUAAAGCUAUGGCCAGUGUGUAUCCUUUCAGUAAUGUAAAUCGGCUAUAUGUCACCAGUUGCUUUUGCUUGUAUACAAAAUAGAAGGGAAUACGUUUUCUAAAUUCGUUCAGCAUAGUUUUCUGGCUCAUCUUGUACUGAUGUGCAAUUAUUUGACUGCAAAACCCGGAUAAUAUACGUGUGUUUUGGUUACGAAAAAUAUGCAUUAUUCAUGAAAUAAAAUCAUAUUUCGUUUAAUGUUUGUGUAUGCAGUUCCAUUUGAAAUCUGUGUAGUUCUCAUGACCUUCUAUAAACUAUGUUAAAUAUCAUUUUGCAAUUGCUUUAGUAACAGAAAGGACAUACAUUUUUACCGUUGACAAAGUAACGAUCUAUUGUGAUGUAUGAAUGUAAUUGAGUAACAUACUUAAAGGCAAAGAAAAUCUCCUAUAUAAGUGACCCCCCCCCCCCCCACAAAUACCAGACUUUUUAAUCCCCAAUAUACAAGAUCCUGUCUGGUCCAGUCUGAUAAGGGUCCAUAAAUCCCCUGUAGACUUGACAUGUAGCCUAAUUAUUGUCAGAGAAUCAUAAAUUUUAUUGCCUACAGGUAAAUUGGUUAUUUCCUGUGUUUUGCAUUUAUUAAUUGAAAUGUUGUUGUUUUUUUAGUCUUUUUUCAGCAUGUACACAAAAUUAUUUUAAUUGAUAAGAUACUAAUUUUGGUUGCUCAGUCAUGUUGAGUAAUGUCCUGGCCAAUUAAAUUAUAACUCUUAUAGCAAAGCAUUUCUCACUAUAAAAUAAUUAUUCAAAACUUAAU